rnacentral:rRNA from 1 species
AUUGAACGCUGGCGGCAUGCCUUACACAUGCAAGUCGAACGGCAGCACGGGAGCAAUCCUGGUGGCGAGUGGCGAACGGGUGAGUAAUGUAUCGGAACGUACCUUUCAGUGGGGGAUAACGUAGCGAAAGUUACGCUAAUACCGCGUAUUCUGUGCGCAGGAAAGCAGGGGAUCGCAAGACCUUGCGCUGAUUGAGCGGCCGAUAUCAGAUUAGCUAGUUGGUGAGGUAAAGGCUCACCAAGGCGACGAUCUGUAGCGGGUCUGAGAGGAUGAUCCGCCACACUGGAACUGAGACACGGUCCAGACUCCUACGGGAGGCAGCAGUGGGGAAUUUUGGACAAUGGGGGCAACCCUGAUCCAGCCAUGCCGCGUGAGUGAAGAAGGCCUUCGGGUUGUAAAGCUCUUCCGGCCGGGAAGAAAUCGCAUGGGUUAAUACCCUGUGCGGAUGACGGUACCGGCAUAAGAAGCACCGGCUAACUACGUGCCAGCAGCCGCGGUAAUACGUAGGGUGCGAGCGUUAAUCGGAAUUACUGGGCGUAAAGCGUGCGCAGGCGGUUUUGUAAGACAGGCGUGAAAUCCCCGGGCUCAACCUGGGAACUGCGCUUGUGACUGCAAGGCUAGAGUAUGGCAGAGGGGGGUGGAAUUCCACGUGUAGCAGUGAAAUGCGUAGAGAUGUGGAGGAACACCAAUGGCGAAGGCAGCCCCCUGGGCCAAUACUGACGCUCAUGCACGAAAGCGUGGGUAGCAAACAGGAUUAGAUACCCUGGUAGUCCACGCCCUAAACGAUGUCAACUAGGUGUUGGGUGGGUAAAACCAUUUAGUACCGGAGCUAACGCGUGAAGUUGACCGCCUGGGGAGUACGGCCGCAAGGUUAAAACUCAAAGGAAUUGACGGGGACCCGCACAAGCGGUGGAUGAUGUGGAUUAAUUCGAUGCAACGCGAAAAACCUUACCUACCCUUGACAUGUCCAGGAGCCUGAAGAGAUUUGGGUGUGCCCGAAAGGGAACUGGAACACAGGUGCUGCAUGGCUGUCGUCAGCUCGUGUCGUGAGAUGUUGGGUUAAGUCCCGCAACGAGCGCAACCCUUGUCGUUAAUUGCCAUCAUUCAGUUGGGCACUUUAACGAGACUGCCGGUGACAAACCGGAGGAAGGUGGGGAUGACGUCAAGUCCUCAUGGCCCUUAUGGGUAGGGCUUCACACGUCAUACAAUGGUCGGUACAAAGGGUCGCCAACCCGCGAGGGGGAGCCAAUCCCAGAAAGCCGAUCGUAGUCCGGAUCGUAGGCUGCAACUCGCCUGCGUGAAGUCGGAAUCGCUAGUAAUCGUGGAUCAGCAUGUCACGGUGAAUACGUUCCCGGGUCU